AUAGUCUCAGUCCAAAACCAAAAAUGUCUCCCCGCCUAAUGAGCCCACCGCAAAAACGGCUAACCCGAUCGAAUCGUGGGUUCAAUAUGCUGAUCUAGUACCAGCCGGUGUUAAAGUGUUGGUCGUCGAGAGAGAUUCCGUAACCCUAGCCAUUGCUUCGAGGAUGCUUCUUAUGUUCGGAUACAAAGGUUCUUGUUGGAAGAUGGAAAUACGGUUGUCCUUCUCUUGUUUUAGUACUCUAUUAACAGCAAUAUAGCAUGUGCUUCUUGAGAAUGAAAAAUCUAGUCAUUUUAUUCUUGUGUUAUUUUCACUUUCCCUGGCGAAGAGUUUUCUUUCGUCCCCAUUUUGAUCGUCUCAUUCACUUCCAGUCGUGACUGCCAAAAGCACUGGCGACGCGUUAUCCAUCAUCCAAGAAAGGCAGGACAACCUCGACCUCAUCCUAACCGAAAUUCACUUGCCCGACGCAGACAAGUUCGAGGUCUUAGAGAAAUUAGGAAGAGCGUCCAAUUUGCUGGUUAUUGUUAUGACAGCUGAUAAUAACGAGGGCACAGUAUUAGGUGCGCUUCUAAACGUGGCUUUGUUUUAUCUUCUGAAACUGAUCGACAAGUUCGACAUCAGAGACCUUUGGCAAUUUUCGUUCAUGAGGAAAAGAGAUCAAAUGGCACAAGUCACAGAGGACAAUACCGAUCAAGAGUCGUCCGAGGAGGAGGGCAAUGACGAACCGAAGAGCCAACUACCUGUGAUUGCCGCGAAGCAAGGUGAAGCACGGCCGAGAAAACAGGAAUGUGAAGAAGUGGAUAGAGACAGAGGAUGACAGUGCCGACUUGCGACCCCACAGGAAGAUAAAGUUAACAUGGACUAAUGAACUAUAAAAGAAAUUCUCACAAGCGAUUCGACUCUUAGGCAUUGACAGUGCUCAGCUAAAGAAAAGUCUUCAGCUCGUGAAUGUCCGUGGUCUCAGGAAAGCAAGUGUCGGAAGCCGCUCAUAGGUCAGUUUUAGAUAUUCAGGCCACAUUGACAAGACAUAUGAGAAUUGUAACAUUAAAAACCGUAUUUAAAUUUUCUACUUUAUAACGUGCAUUACUAGACGACGUGAUGUGUGA